CAUUUUCCACGGGGACAUUAAGGUGGAAAAUCUCCUUAUUGAGACGUGCGUUAAGUCGCCGCGAGUUCGCAUCAUCGACUUCGGUGUGAGCUGCUUCUUCGAAGAAGGAGAGGCCUUUAACGAGUUUUAUGAGACGUGGGCGAGCACUGUUGCUUCCAACGAGCAGAAAGAGCAUUGAUAAUAUGUACAUGGUCCUUCCUCGAAGCUUUGACGAUGCAGACGGCUUUUUUUGUGUGAGGUCAAAGGUCAAACCACCUUCAAUGUCAAAGAACUUCAUGCUGCCUGUCUCCAUCCAUCAUCUGUUGCCAUGACUCCCGCUGCAUUGACUGAGGC